rnacentral:rRNA from 1 species
AGAGUUUGAUCCUGGCUCAGGACGAACGCUGGCGGCGCGCCUAACACAUGCAAGUCGAACGAGAGAGAAGGAGCUUGCUUCUUCGAUCGAGUGGCGAACGGGUGAGUAACGCGUGAGGAACCUGCCUCAAAGAGGGGGACAACAGUUGGAAACGACUGCUAAGACCGCAUAAGCCCACGGGUCGGCAUCGAUCUGAGGGAAAAGGAGCAAUCCGCUUUGAGAUGGCCUCGCGUCCGAUUAGCUAGUUGGUGAGGUAACGGCCCACCAAGGCGACGAUCGGUAGCCGGACUGAGAGGUUGAACGGCCACAUUGGGACUGAGACACGGCCCAGACUCCCACGGGAGGCAGCA